AGAAUCAACGCUGGCGGCGUGCCUAACACAUGCAAGUCGAACGAGAAAGUGGAGCAAUCCAUGAGUAAAGUGGCGCACGGGUGAGCAACACGUGACUAACCUACCCUUGAGUGGGGGAUAACCUAGGGAAACCUGGGCUAAUACCGCAUAAUACCUUCGGGUCAAAGGAGCAAUUCGCUUAAGGAGGGGUCGCGGCCGAUUAGUUAGUUGGCGGGGUAAUGGCCCACCAAGACUGUGAUCGGUA
rnacentral:rRNA from 1 species